rnacentral:lncRNA from 1 species
UUAUUUCCUGCUUCUCUCCACUGUCUUAUUUUCAAGCUGCUACUGGUGCACCAUGAGAACCUGAUUUAAUACUAAGUGUCCAUACCAAAGUUCAAUGUCUGUCCCUACAGCAUAAUAUAACAUCGGUUAUCUCAAACAAUUGAUCUGGCUUAGUUCCUGGCCCAGGUGCAUAUUAGUUUUUGGAAGAAACUGAAUACAUAUUGUAAAAGUGUAUUAGCUCUUUCAAGCCAAAGGGGAGUGAUUAAAUAGAUGACUUCUCCAGGGGUGGAGGCCUUCAAGUGGGGCGAGAUGAGGAGGCAGAGAAUCCUAAGCACUCUGUUUCAUUUUCUUGUGAGCAAAAAACAUGAGACAGUGUCCUUUGU